rnacentral:rRNA from 1 species
GCUCAGUAACACGUGGAUAACCUAGCCUUGAGAGGGAGAUAACCUCGUGAAACUGAGGAUAAUACCCCAUAGGCCCUGAGGCAGUGUACAGUCCAAGCCGAAAGCUCCGGCGCUACAUGGAUCGGGUCUGCUGCCUAUCAGGUAGUAGUUGGUGUUCAGGACCCACUACAGGCAGACGGGUACGGGCUAUGGGAGUAGUCGAUCUGAGAUCGUUUCUGAGACACGAGUGCAGUUCCUACGCGGUGCAGCAGCUACGAGAACUACACAAUGGGCUAACGGCCGACAGGUAGACUGGCAGUGCUCGCGCCAAGCGUAGGCUGUUCUAUUGCCUAAAAAGCAGUACGAGGAAAGGGCGGUUAAGACGGGUGCCAGCCGCCGCGGUAAUACCCGCGCCCUGAGUGGUGGUCGCUUUUACUGAGCCUAAAGCGUCCGCAUCCGGCCCUGUAAACCCUUGGUUAAAUCGUGCAGCUCAGCUGUCCGAAUUCCGAGGAGACUGCCGGGCUUGGGACCGGGAGAGGCUGGAGGUACUUCUGGGGUAGGGGUAAAAUCCUGUAAUCCUGGGAGGACCACUGGUGGCGUGUCGCGUCCAGCUAGAACGGAUCCGACGGUAAUGGACGAAGGCCUGGUCGCGCAAACGGGAUUAGAUACCCCUCAUAGUCCAGGCUGUAAACGCUGCGAGCUUGUGUUGGGGGUCCUACGGGGGGUCCCAGUGCCGGAGCGAAGGUGUUAAGCCCGCCGCUUGGGGAGUACGGCCGCAAGGCUGAAACUUAAAGGAAUUGGCGGGGGAGCGCCGCAACGGGAGGAG